UGGGGAAUCUUGGACAAUGGGGGCAACCCUGAUCCAGCCAUGCCGCGUGAGUGAUGAAGGCCUUAGGGUCGUAAAGCUCUUUCGCCUGUGAAGAUAAUGACGGUAGCAGGUAAAGAAACCCCGGCUAACUCCGUGCCAGCAGCCGCGGUAAUACGGAGGGGGUUAGCGUUGUUCGGAAUUACUGGGCGUAAAGCGCACGUAGGCGGACCAGAAAGUUGGGGGUGAAAUCCCGGGGGCUCAACCCCGGAACUGCCUUUCAUACUGGCGAUCUGGAGUUCGAGAGAGGUGAGUGGAAUUCCGAGUGUAGAGGUGAAAUUCGUAGAUAUUUGGAGGAACACCAGUGGCGAAGGCGGCUCACUGGCUCGAUACUGACGCUGAGGUGCGAAAGUGUGGGGAGCAAACAGGAUUAGAUACCCUGGUAGUCCACACCGUAAACGAUGAAUGCCAGUCGUCGGGUAGCAUGCUAUUCGGUGACACACCUAACGGAUUAAGCAUUCCGCCUGGGGAGUACGGUCGCAGA
rnacentral:rRNA from 1 species